rnacentral:rRNA from 1 species
GAUGAACGCUGGCGGCGUGCCUAAUACAUGCAAGUCGAGCGAACAGACGAGGAGCUUGCUCCUCCGACGUUAGCGGCGGACGGGUGAGUAACACGUGGUUAACCUACCUAUAAGACUGGGAUAACUUCGGGAAACCGGAGCUAAUACCGGAUAAUAUGUUGAACCGCAUGGUUCAACAGUGAAAGACGGUCUUGCUGUCACUUAUAGAUGGAUCCGCGCCGCAUUAGCUAGUUGGUAAGGUAACGGCUUACCAAGGCAACGAUGCGUAGCCGACCUGAGAGGGUGAUCGGCCACACUGGAACUGAGACACGGUCCAGACUCCUACGGGAGGCAGCAGUAGGGAAUCUUCCGCAAUGGGCGAAAGCCUGACGGAGCAACGCCGCGUGAGUGAUGAAGGUCUUCGGAUCGUAAAACUCUGUUAUUAGGGAAGAAC